UAGAAUUCACCCGCCCCUGGUGCUCGGGAAGCCGGUCUGAAUCCGGCGCUGCCCCCGCAACGGUAGGCCAGCUAAGCCUUUCAGCAAGCCACUGUGCCCCCGGGCAUGGGAAGGCGGAAGGCCGGCGCGACGCCCGUCGCGCCACUGGCAAGCCCGGAGACCGGCCGGGGGCUGGCUGCCGGC
rnacentral:ncRNA from 2 species